UCCAGUAGCUAAUUCAGAGGCUCCCGAAAGACCCAGGUAGCCAGGUAAUCAGUGUGUAGAGCUUAUUUGCAGUCCACUGCAAGCGUACUUCAGACUGUAACACUUUAUAAAGGUCUUUCGUUCAACCAGGUGGCACUGUGCAAAGCUCAGGGUACCUAAUACCAUAGGGUUUAGUUGGCUUUUUGGUGGCUGUGUUGUAAGGUCCCAGGCCUGAGAGCAGCAGAAGGACCAACCCGGGAAAGUGAGCCUAAGUGGAGCUCUGUCUUGGUCUCAGAUUUAAACAGAGGUAAAGCCCUGGAAGCUUCUGACCACACUCCUUUAUCUAUGACCAAUUAAGCAAACGAGGGCUAAGCCCCUUCCAGCAUGCAAGCACUUACAAAAAAGGUGCUGGAGCCCCAGCCAAACUGUUCACAUACCCAAUAACAAGAAGGGGAUACGCUGAGUAUUGUUAGGAAUUGAAAUCUCCAUGAACCAGGAAUUCUCAAAAGUGUGGCAUGAGCAAUUCAACAAUCCUGUUUAGCUUGUAUAACAAGACAUCGAGAGGAAGGUAAUCCAGCUAGGCUGGCAGCUUUACAAUACCAAGGACUCUGGUUCCUCCAGCUCUUUGCUCCUGGUCUUCCUCAGAUGAGGCUUCAUCCUCAUUCUUACAGAAUGACUGCUAAAGUUGGAGCCAUCAGCUCCACAUUGGUGGUGGUGGUUAUGGGGUGAUGGGGAAGGACCAAGUAUAAAAAUCAGAGACUGCCAGUUGCAUCUGCCCCUUAACAAGUGACUUCCAUAGACAUCUCGUUGACCAGAACUAUGUCCCAUGACCACCCCAACCUUGAAGGUAAGCUGGGAAACAUGGUCUUUUGACUGAACUUAUUGACACCCUGAGUAUAUUGAGAGGCCAUCAUGAAAAAGGCAAGAAAGAAUAAAUGUUGGAAGACAUUCAGCCAUCCCUGCCACACCCAGAAAAGAUGCUGCCACUUGGACAUGGGGUGCACCUAACACCUAAGAGGAGGAGCCUACACCCAUUCCUUCAGUGGGAGAUGCCUACUUUUCAUCCAAGGCAAGGCUUGAAUUUUGACCUCACCCUUUUUCUUUUCUUUUCUUUUCUUUUCUUUUCUUUUUUUUUUUUAAGAUUUUAUUUAUUUAUUCAUGAGAGACACAGAGGGAGAGAGAGGCAGAGACACAGGCAGAGGGAGAAGCAGUCUCCGUGCAGGGAGCCCGAUUCAUGCCUCCAUCCAAGGACUCCAGGAUCAUGCCCUGGGCCAAAGGCAGGCGCUAAACCACUGAGCCACCCAGGGAUUCCCAUCCUCACCCUUUUUCUAUAUACCCAACUAUAUGAAUUUCUUUGA
rnacentral:lncRNA from 1 species